CCUUUUCCCUUCCAAAAACGCAUUCUAGCUUCUUCUGUUUUUCCUCCACUUUCCCGUCCAAAACACAUUCUAGGUUUUUAUUUAUUUAUUUAUUUUUCUCUCUACUUUCCAUUUCCUUUUCAAAAAUACCAUCGUCGUUGCCACUUCGACUGUAUUCUAGGGUUACUUUUCUCUAUUUUCCCCCUUUCUUGUCCAAAAUGCAUUCUUGGUUUUUUUUUUUUUUUUCACUACUUUCCCUUUCCCUUUCAACCACUUCGUCGUUACCAUUUGCCGAUGUCAUCCUUGCACCACUCCUUCUUCUUGGAUUUAAGGGAGACCCAGUGCCUUAGGAGCGGUGUGCCGGCAAUGCAAUGGAGGAGCAAGUGAAGGACCGCGCAGAAACUUGAAGCAGAAAAUUAGAGGUACAAGUGAAUGCUCUCACAAUCACACACACACACUCACAUAGAUAGACAGAGACACAGAGAGAGAGAGAGAGAUAUAUAUAAAAAGAUAGAGAAGCAUUGGUGGUGGUUUAUCCCCCAUUAAUGUAAGUUGCUUCUCUAAACAAAAUAGAAAAUAUUAUGCAAGUUGAUGUUGCAUGAAUUCAAAGAAUUUAUCAUUGAACCUUUAUUUGUGCUACAUUGUAUGGUUUUUCAGCAUUGUUGAUAAUUUUCAUAAUGGAUUAUUUUAGAGAAGAUAA